rnacentral:rRNA from 1 species
GAUGAACGCCGGCGGCGUGCUUAACACAUGCAAGUCGAACGAUGAAAGACGAGUUUGCUCUUCUGGUUCAGUGGAACACGGGUGUGUAACACGUGAAUACCCUGCCCAACACUCUGAUAUAACCGGUGGACACGGCCUAUAAUACCGGAUACGAGACCAAGCCACAUGCUACUGUCUGGAGAUUUUUCGGUUUUGGAUGGACUCGCGGCCUAUCAGCUUGUUGGUGAGGUAAUGGCCCACCAAGGCCACGACGGGUAGCCGGCCUGAGAGGGCGACCGGCCACACUGGGACUGAGACACGGCCCAGACUCCUACGGGAGGCAGCAGUGGGGAAUAUUGCACAAUGGGCGAAAGCCUGAUGCAGCGACGCCGCGUGAGGGAUGACGGCCUUCGGGUUGUAAACCUCUUUCAGCAGGGAAGAAGCGAAAGUGACGGUACCUGCAGAAGAAGCACCGGCUAACUACGUG